rnacentral:tRNA from 3 species
GUGGAUGUAGCUCAACCGGUAGAGCGCUUGAUUGUGGUUCAAGUGGUUGGGGGUUCAAGUCCCCUCAUCCACCCCA